AUUAGACAGAGGGAUACAUGCAAAGUACUUGAUUGGUUAGAUUCUCUGGAGAAAUAUUUUGACUACUAUAACUUGAUAAAGACAUAAAAGCUUCAAUUUGCUUGCUCCCAGUUGAUUGAUUAUGUUGGAGAAUGGUGGAGUCUAUGAAAAGCAACGCUGAGUUCGAGGAGAUGAGCCUAAGACUUGGGAAGAGAUGAAGCACAAGUCAGCAACCUGAUACCUUCCAUCAUAUAUCCAAAGAAGGCUCUUUCCUCUGCAAGAUUCCCACAAGAAGACAUCCAUAGGUCUCCCAAAGGCAUCCACAUGUGACAAGAGUGAAACAAUUAGUAGACCACUUGGCCGCUAUUGUACAAAAAUAUGCAAAGAAGCAAUAAGAGAAGACACCUCCAAUCAAUGAUCAGAAUAUGAAAUUGAGGUUAAUGAUGAAGAACUUCCAGCAAUUCCUGUUAACAACAAAGAGUUCGUCAUUGAUGUUCCCACCAUUGAAACUCAACGAGGAUUGUUAAUGUUAACAUCCACAAUCAACCAAGCUAUAGAAUGAUCAGCAAUAGUGAUGGAGGGCCUUAGGGAAAAAGGGAAAAAUCCCUGAGAUGGGUCUCAGAGUUACAGGGGAGGAAGAAUAUUAGCACUAAGAAAGGGGGGAAGGAAGAAUCGCACAAACCCGCAAGCUUCACAAACAUUCAAAUCAAUUCAUAUUUUCUAUUUUCUAAUUACUUAAUCGGUUACAUGGCAUAAAUACUAAAAGAAAUCCAAUAUGAAAGGAAACCUACUCUAAUUUGGAAACUCAACUUAAUUGGAAAUUAAAUCCUAAUAACUAUCUCCUACUCAAGCUACCAAAAUAAAAGAUUGCAUGAAAAUAGAAAUAAAAUCCUAAAAGAUCUUACUAGUCAAAGACCCAAAUUUGAUCCGAUUCAACUCUAUUUGGAUACCCAGAUGGGUUCAGAUCAUUCCAUGGGUACGAAUCUAUUCAACUCGUCUAUAAGCUUUAUAGAAUGGGAGAAUCAAUACCAAUCGAUCAGCAUCCAUCAUUUCUUGUAUGAAGUCACCAUCAAAACCAUAAUCUAAUGCUAUAAAAUUCACAAUGCAAAGUUCAUUGGUAAGGUAGUGACUUAGAAAAAUAAAAUCAAUUGGUUCACUGAAGAGAUCAACCAAUUUAAAUAUUUUCACAAGUUGAUCUUCAAUUUCCAACGAUGCCAUGUCAUCUUCCACCAUUAGUGACUCAUCUUUUGGUUUGUCUACCUGUUGCUCAAUGGCUGAGAUCACGUAGGUAUAGUGUGCUUGAGCAUUGAAGUCCGUGCAAUGUCAUUGAAUUUCCUCGAGCUUCUCUCACAUCAAUUGUAUUUGUUGACGGAUACCUAUUAAAAGAUCGAGAUCCAUUGGUCAAGUUUGCUAUUCAAAAUCACUAUGGAGCCACUAUGGCAAGAGAACACUUAAAGCAAAGGGUAAAUGGCAAAAGCAUAAUUAAAUGGAAGAUUAGAACAAUGGCAAAAUGUUAUAAAUAUGGAAGUUCUUUAGUGAGUGGCACACUUGUAAAUAUAAAAGUGGUACUUGAGACCCAAUAAUGUAUUGUAUCUCAAGGGAGGGCUAAAAUUGGAAAUUAGAAA